rnacentral:rRNA from 1 species
CGUGGAUCGAUUUGUCUGGUUUAUUCCGAUAACGAGCGAGACUCUAGCCUACUAAAUAGUAACGAGAUUAUCAAUGUCUCAGUUGCUUCUUAGAGGGAUUUUCGGUGUUUAGCCGCACGAGAUUGAGCAAUAACAGGUCUGUGAUGCCCUUAGAUGUCCGGGGCUGCACGCGCGCUACACUGGCGAAAUCAGCGUGCUGUAUCCAUUCUCGAAAGGGAUUGGUAAACCCAUGAAAACUUGCCGUGCUUGGGAUCGGAAAUUGCAAUUAUUUUCCG